UGAUAAUUAGUUUAACCAAAACAAAUGAUUUCGACUCAUUAGAUUGUAGCUCAUAUUACAAUUAUCAA
rnacentral:tRNA from 2 species